rnacentral:lncRNA from 1 species
UAUAAUCCAUUGACUAAUGUUAUACACUGAAACCAUUAGUCUUGUUAAAUGGUUUCAGUUUUGUUAACCCAUUAAUAUUGACUAUGAGGGUAAAAUAGAUUUUUAAAAUCCUCAAUAUUGGCAGAUUAUAAGUGAAUGUAGUAUAACAUUAUUAUUGUUAAAUGGCUUUGAAUAAAAAUUGUACACUGAAACCAUUACUCUUGUAAAAUGGUUUCAACAUGUUAUACACUGAAACCAUUAGUCUUGUUAAAUGGUUUUGUUAAAUGGUUUCAGUGUUGUGAACCCAUUAAUAUUGACUAUGAGAGUAAAAUAUAUUUUUUAAAUCCUGAAUAUUCAAACCAUUAUUCACAACCUAUAGUACACACUUAUUCACAAAUGCAUUUCCAUUUUCGCCUUAAACUAUAGAACAAAUAUGAUCAAUAACCAAGCACUACCAUCACCCCUAUCUUAUUGAACCAGUAAGAUCUAUACAGUUUGACUUGAGCUGAAGAAGAAAAACCAAGACUCUUCAAAGGUAUCAUAAGUAGUAGUCUGCAAAAAGUUCAGUAAGUGGGUCUUUUUUUUUU